rnacentral:rRNA from 1 species
UACGUAGGGGGCUAGCGUUGUCCGGAAUCAUUGGGCGUAAAGCGCGUGUAGGCGGCCCGGUAAGUCCGCUGUGAAAGUCGGGGGCUCAACCCUCGAAUGCCGGUGGAUACUGUCGGGCUAGAGUACGGAAGAGGCGAGUGGAAUUCCUGGUGUAGCGGUGAAAUGCGCAGAUAUCAGGAGGAACACCCAUUGCGAAGGCAGCUCGCUGGGACG